UUUCAGAAUUCGUCUUUCAAUCUCCCGAAUUUUGUAGACAAUACAAUUUCCACUGCGAUAGCAAUAUGCAAUCGAAUAUAGUUGAAACUAAUGGUAACCGGCCCAGCACACGAGGUUGUUCGGACUUCACAUACUUCAUCAACGGGACAAGGUUCGAUCUACAUAUGAGUAUUACAUUAAAUAAGCUUUCUGUUUUCAAUUUCCCUCUUGCCUGUACAAAAAAAUGGAACUUGAUCGUUUAAAGAGGAGGUUGGAUAUAAGAACGUCAGAUACGCCGAGCCAGCAAAAAGGACAAUGGCUCAUCUGCCACAUCCGUUGCUCGCAAAGAACGACCAACACUAUGGGCAAAAUCAAUACUGAUGAACACGCAGCUAGAAGGCACCAACAAACACUUCCGGCUGAGUGCCAUAUCCACCCUUUUUAAUGUCAAAAACAAAAAAUUGAUAAUUUAAUAAUAAUAAGUG